UUUUGUGAAUGUAUGUUCAGCUAUGUUAUCUUUAAUGUCAUUAAAAGUAAAUUGUUCCUCCGUCAUACGUUAACACGCACACACAGUGUUUGUAGUUCCUAUGUGCACUGCAGUUUCUUACCAUUUACAUUUGAAUAAAAAAUUGGCAGGCACAUCAGUAAAAUGACUAAAGUAACUCAAUGAAUUACCAACUAAUGUAAAGAUUUAAUCUUGCAGUCCAUUUGUACCGUACAAUGUCCCUUGGAUGUGCAUGGAUAUUAUACAGUAAGCAUAUAUUAAAAGACAACAGUAAACAGUUCCAUACCAGCUGAGACAUGAGAUCAACAUGAUUCUGUUUGCACACAUUUCCAUGUUUUCACAGCAAUAUGAUGCAUUUGCUUAAUGUGAUAUUCUACUAAUGGGCUACUAGCAGAAAUGAUACAUGCUACAGUGUGCUUAGGGAACCUUUGAUGAAAACAGUAUUAUUUGUUGAUAAGUGAGUAUGCUUUGAGAAGAAGGGCUUGGAAGGAAAUUGGGCACAUGGACAAGCUGUCACUAACGUGUGUUUCCUUUCAAGGUGGUCUCCAGGACUUGUGCAGGUGUGCUGCAGGUAUAGAAGAUCAAGGGAGAUGGCACACAGCAGUGUACGUGCACCUGCGCUUCCCUCUGCUGGUUAAAAGCUGGCAUUGAAGGAUUUAUUGGCUGUUUGACAAGACAGCUGAGACGCUGCAGGAUCGAGAAAGAGUACUGAGGUGAGGGAAAGGCAAGACAUUGGCAGUGGGUAUAUCUCGUCUGUGCCAGACAGGUCAGGAGUAUG